AUUUAGCUGUAUGUUGGUGCCAUAGCAGUACUUAAAAAAAUUCUGCAACCCAGGAAGUGAUACGAAUCUGUGCUGCAAAAGUGAGGAGUUUUUAUUAUCAGGAAGAUUACUUUAAAACUCUGGUUUUCGAAUGGAAUACUACUCAGCCAUAAAGAAUGAGAAAGUAGAUCCAUUCAUAGGUAAA